AUGGGUGUGUCCUAUUUCUCCACAAAUCUUGCAUGCAUAAGGUUUCUUCAUAUCCUUUCCAUAAGGCUUCAACUUCUAGGAUACAAACCGAAACUUUGGCAAAGUCAACUUAAAUUCUUUCCAAGUGGUUACUCCUUGCCAUCCAUUGAUGGUUUGGUACAUUCUCCACCAAGUAGCAUCACCUCUUUCAAAGCACUAAAGAGCAUGCUGGGUCAUAUCCUUUCCAACUAUAGGGUUAUUCUCCAUGUGAUCCUCCAUGUUUUGAAUCCAUUGGUCCGUCUCCAAUUGACUCAUCGGUCUAGAAAAUAUAAGCUCAUCUUCAUUCAUCCUUUAUUGGGUACAUGGGUUUGGGGUGAGAUAAGAGAGAUAGAGAGGGAUACACACAAUACAAACAAAAGUUUUGAAAAGACAUAUUUUAUUUGUGGCUGUCGGGAAAAACAUCAAACAAAUGACAGCUCACAAACAUCGCAUCUAACGUAG
rnacentral:rRNA from 1 species